ensembl:lncRNA
GCAAAAUGGACAGCUGGAAAAAUCCUGAACAUGCUACGGGUCCCUCAAAUCUAAUUGUUAAUUGAAAAAAAAAAUCAGCAAAAAAAAGUAUAACAGUCACACAAUCACAAAUAUGGGCACAUAUGGAAACACACAUGCACAGAGAGACACACACAGGACCAAAUUCAGUCAACCAGUCUAAAUAUAUUGAAUUUAAGUGAUAUAAUAAGAUGCUCCCAUCAAAGGGCUCUCUCGCUCUCUCUCUCUCUCACACACACACACACACACACACACACACACACACAGCCUAAAGGGAAUAGUAUUUGUGCCAUGGAGUGUUAACAAGAAUCUGAGGUCCAUAUUACAAAAGCUGCUAAAAUCAUAAAAGGUUGCAGAAUUGUAAUAAAUGAUGAAUAUGAAUUAGUGGUCUGUGAUAGUGUAUUAAUUUGUAGGGAAAAAACACAUGUUGCCCAAGGUGUAAUUGAACCCACGACCUUUGGGUUGCAGACCUGUGUCAUUACCAACUGCGCCACUGGGAAAGAGAGC